rnacentral:lncRNA from 1 species
GUAGUCUGAUAUGUGGAGUUAUAGGAUGGCUCUAUAUAUUGCACAAGGAAGUACUAGCACCACAUUAGUCACAAAAGCAUGUUGAGAAAUCAUUCAACGGUGGCACUGUGCUGGUCCUAGGCUAGACCAUGCUAGUGACGCGAGCCUGAGCACAGAUGAAGUCACAAUAUCGCAAGAAUAAUAAGAACAACAAGAGAUAACUUCCCUUCUUUUCCUCUUCCUUUCUUUUCUUUCCUUUUUUUCUUAUCUUUCCUUUUUCUUUUAUUUUUUUCUGAUAUUUUUUUGUUUCUUUCUGUUUUUUUCCUACUUUGCUCAACUAAAAUAAAUCUGAAUCUUGAUGGAUUAGAUUUCAGAAAACACACAAUGUCUUUAGUGUAACAAAAAUACAACUAGCAGAUUAUGAUGGUGAUAUGAUGUUGCAGUAACACUGAUUGCAACGGGGAUGAGAAAAAUAGAAUGUGAAAGAAGAGUGGAGGAGAGGCAAAAGGAUGCGCAUGAAGUGGACAAGGAUGCAAUGUUCUAAAAUUAGAUGCCCAAGAGUGGAAUGAAUCUAGUGGUUGCAAUAGGAUGCUGAUUAUAGAAUGUGCAAGAGCACUUACAAUAGGAUGUAUGAAUGGAAGAAAGGAACAUGCAGGUGGUAGUGAGUAAGAAUAGGUUGCUCACGGGUGGAAGUGAAAACGUGCAUGCAAUGGCCUAAAAAUAUAGCGUGCGCAUGAGUGAAAAGAGAGUGGUGGAUGGUGUUUACACGGUGCCCAAGUAGGGUGGUGAUGGUAGUUCAGAUAUAUUUAGUGUAGUCCAAAUGUAUAUGGUAAUAGUGAUUGCAGCGGAGAUUAUACGAUGGGCAAUGACUAAAACGUGACAAAAACUCAAAACUCUAAAAGUCUAAACCUAAGACCAGCAACUCGACUCAACCGAUGUAAAUCAAACACAACAAGCCUGAACUAAGUAGUACUAGUAAAAGGCUCAAAGGGUCUAUAGGAUGAUAGAAAUGAAAGUACUAUUUUUCUUGGCUUUUUCUAGGCAAUAGGGAAAAAAUGCAAACUAAAUUCUCUCACCGAUGAAACCUUGAUCUGAUGCCACAUAAUAAGAAUGAGGGUGUCCCGAUCUUUCGGUGGAGAUGGAUAACUUCGAUCUCUCUGGAGCGACGUUCACGAUCCGACUACAACCAUCCAAGGACGCUGCGCCUUAGCGAUCGAUACACCAAUUCCAGCGGUUGAUCACAAUCUUGUUGAUCACAACCAACCAAACCACUAGGGUAAUUCCUGCACGCAAUCGAAGAACAUGCAAGAACAGAUAGAACAGGCACUCAAUUGCCAAAUAAUACAAGAAGGAUCUGAUAUGAAUCACAAUAACAAUAUGGGGUUUUGAAUCAAGUAGAACGGAUGGUCUAGUCGACACAUGCGUCUACAAGGAAGUAGCAAUGGCUAAACUUACAACAAAACAAAACCCGCCUUGUGUCUCUAGCUGUAGAAGCCUUUAUGUACAAGAGAGAGCAACCAGAGUGUGCGGUGCUAAUCCCUCGACUCACUAAAAACAAAAGAAAACAAUAAUAAGUAACUCAACGAUUGCGGCCGCCUCAUUAUAGAUAUGGUCUUGGGACUGGAUCCAUGUGAAAAUAGACUUCAUAAGCUUUCCACCGUGUAUUUGAACAUCAAAAUUGGUCACCGUAUGUAGUCUUGGUGGCCACCACAAUUUGAGACCCUUCUGCAGUCCAAAUUUAGCCCAUCGCAAAUAUGCUUCCUUGCGGUUCCUCCUCAUUAUUCUAGAUAGUUGAGUUAUCAUGCAUAUGAAUCUGAGGCGUGGAGGUAUUGAUGGUGCUCAUGUCCUCAUCAUCCUCCUCUUCUUGCAUUUGAGUCGUCCUUGACUCAAGCUUGUCCUCUUCUAUUGAUGGUACUCAUGUCCUCAUCAGUACUCCUAGGUGAAGAGGCUCAAGUGGAAGCUCGGUUCGGUCUGUUUGAAGAUAGUGCUAACUUGAUGCAAGAUAGUUGCACGGUUUGCAUGGAACGUAUCAUAUGCUUGGAAAUCAAUUUGGAUGCACCUGAUGGAACUCCUAGAUGUCGUGCAUCAUAUGUAAUCUUGCUUUGGUCCAUUUGCAUACAAUGUUAGUUUUGGUGCAAGAUGGGUGCAUGGUUUGCGUCUAAUGCACCAUUGGCUAAGAAACCAUUUUGGACACACCCAAUGGUACUCCUAGGUGAAGGGGUGCAAGUGGAGGCUUGGUUUGGUCCAUUUGGAGAUAGUGCCAAUCUUUAGGAAAGAUAGGUGCACGUUUGCGUGGAACAUACCAUGAAAUCAAUUUGGACGCAACCGAUGGAACUCCUAGAUGACGUGUGUCAUAUGGAAUCUUGCUUCAGUUCAUUUGGAGACUGUUAGUUUUGGUGCAAGCUAGGUGCAUAGUUUGUGUCGAAUGCACCAUAGUUUAAGAAACCAUUUUGGAUGCACUUAUUUGUACUCCUGGGUGAAGAGGCUCAUGUGGAAGCUCAAUUUGGUAUGUUUGGAGAUAGUGCUAAUCUUGAUGCAAGAUAGAUGCACAGUUUGCAAGGAACGUACCAUAUGCUAAGAAAUCAAUUUGGACACCCGAUGGAACUUCUAGAUGACGUGUGUCAUAUGGAAUCUCACUUUCGUUCGUUUGGAGACAGUGUUAGUUUCGGUGCAAGAUAGGUGCACAGUUUGCGCCUAAUGCACCAUAGGCAAAGAAACCAUUUUGGACACACCCGAUGGUACUCCUAGGUGAAGGGGCUCAAGUGGAAGCUCAGUACGGUUUGUUUGGAGAUAGUGCUAAUCUUUAUGUAUGAUAGGUGCACGGUUUGCAUGGAACAUACCAUAUGCUCAAAAAUCAAUAUGGACGCAACGAAUAGAACUCCUAGAUGAUGUGUGUCAUCCAGAAUCUCACUUUGUCUGUUUGGAGAUAGUUUUAGUUUGGGUGCAAGAUAGAUGAAUGGUUUGCGCCUAAUGCACCAUACUCUAAGAAAAUAUUUUGGACACACUCGAUGGUACUCCUAGGUGAAGAGGCUCAAGUGGAAGCUUGGUUCGGUCUGUUUGGAGAUAGUGCUAACUUGAUGCAAGAUAGUUGCACGGUUUGCAUGGAACGUACCAUAUGCUUGGAAAUCAAUUUGGACGCACCCAAUGGAACUCCAACUCCUAGAUGAGGUGUGUCAUAUGUAAUCUCGCUUUGGUCCGUUUGGAGACAUCGUUAGUUUUGGUGCAAGAUAAGUGCACGGUUUGUGCCUAAUGCACCAUAGGCUAACAAACCAUUUUGGACGCACCCGAUGGUUCUCCUAGGUUUUGUCUAUGUUUUCUCCAUUUGUAGAUAGUCCUAAUCUUCAUGUAAGAUAGGUGCAUGGUUUGCAUGUAACGUACCAUUUGCUUGGAAAUCAAUUUGGACGCACCCAAUAGAACUUCUAGAUGACUCGUGUCAUAUGGAAUCUCGCUUCGAUCUAUUUGAAGAGAGUGUUAGUUUCAGUGCAACAUAGGUGUACCGUUUGCGCCUAAUGCACCAUAGGCUAAGAAACCAUUUUGGAUGCAGCCGAUGGUACUCCUUGGUAGAGGGGCUCAAGUGAAAGCUUGGUUUGGUCUAUUUGGAGAUAGUGUUAAUCUUGAUGCAAGAUAGGUGCAUGGUUUGCAUGGAACGUACCAUAUGCUCAAAAUUCAAUUUGGACACACACGAUAGAACUCCUUGAUGACGUUUGUCGUAUGGAAUCUUGCUUCGUUCCUUUUGGAGGUAGUGUUAGUUUUAGUGCAAGAUAUGUGCACGGUUUGUGCCUAGUGCACCAUAGGCUAAGAAACCAUUUUAGACGCACCCGAUGGUACUCCUAGGUGAAUAGGCUUAAGUGGAAGCUCGGUUUGGUCUGUUCAGAGAUAGUGCUAAUCUUGAUGCAAGAUAGGUGCACGGUUUACAUGGAACGUACGAUAUGCUCAGAAAUCAAUUUGGACUGACCAAAUGGAACUCCUAGAUGACGUGUGUCAUAUGGAAUCUUGCUUGGGUCCAUUUCGAGACAUUGUUAGUUUUGGUGCAAGAUAGGUACACGGGCCUAAUGCACCAUAGGCUAAGAAACCAUUUUGGACACACCUGAUGGUACUCCUGGUGAAGGGGCUCAAGUGGAAGCCUGGUUUGGUCUGUUUGGAGAUGGUGCUAAUCUUGAGGAAAGAUAGCUGCACGGUUUGCAUGGAAUGUAUCAUAUGCUCAGAAAUCAAUUUGGACACACCUGAUGGAACUCCUUGAGGACGUGUGUAAUAUGGAAUCUCACUUUGGUCCAUUUGGAGAUUAUGUUAGUUUCGGUGCAAGAUAGGUGCACGGUUUGCGCCUAAUGCACUAUAGGCUUAGAAACCGUUGUGGAAGCACCCGAUGGUACUCGUAGGUGAAGAGGCUCAAGUAAAGCUUGAUACGGUCUAUUUGGAGAUAGUGCUAACCUUCAUGUAAGAUAGGUGCACAGUUUGCAUGGAACAUACCAUAUGCUCAAAAAUCAAUUUGCACGCACCCGAUAGAACUCCUAGAUGAUGUGUGUUAUGUGUAAUCUCGCUUUGGUCUAUUCGGACAUAGUGUGAGUUUCGAUGCAAGAUAGGUGCACGGUUUGCUCCUAAUGCACAAUCUCUAAGAAACCAUUUUGGACAAACCCAAUGGUACUCCUAGGUGAAGAGGCUCAAGUAGAAGCUCGGUUCGGUCUAUUUGGAGAUAGUGUAAAUCUUGAUGCAAGAUAGUUGCACUGUUUGCAUCGAACAUAUCAUAUGCUUGGAAAUCAAUUUGGAUGCACUCGAUGGAACUCCUAGAUGACGUUUGUCAUAUGUAAUCUUGCUUUGGUCCAUUUGGAGACAAUGUUAGUUUCGGUGCAAGAUAGGUGCAUGGUUUGCAUCUAAUGCACCAUUGAGUAAGAAACCAUUUUGGGCACAUCCAAUGGUACUCCUAGGUGAAGAGGCGCAAGUGGAGGCUUGGUUUGGUCUGUUUGGAGAUAGUGCUAAUCUUUAGGAAAGAUAGGUGCACAUUUGCAUGGAACAUACCAUAUGCUUAGAAAUCAAUUUGGACGCAACCGAUGGAACUCCUAGAUGACGUGUGUCAUAUGGAAUCUUGCUUCAGUUCACUUGGAGACAAUGUUAGUUUUGGUGCAAGCUAGGUGCAUAGUUUGUGCCGAAUGCACCAUAGUCUAAGAAACCAUUUUGGAUGCACCUAUUUGUACUCCUAGGUUAAUUGGCUCAAGUGGAAGCUCAGUUUGGUCUGUUUGGAGAUAGUGCUAAUCUUGAUGCAAGAUUGAUGCACAGUUUGCAAGGAACGUACCAUAUGCUAAGAAAUCAAUUUGGACACCCGAUGGAACUCCUAGAUGACGUGUGUCAUAUGGAAUCUCGCUUUGUUCUGUUUGGAGACAGUGUUAGCUUCAGUGCA